rnacentral:rRNA from 1 species
GCAGCCGCCGCGGUAAUACAGAGGAUGCAAGUGUUAUCCGGAAUGAUUGGGCGUAAAGGGUGCGUAGGCGGUUUGGCAAGUCUCGUGUGAAAUCUUCGGGCUCAACCCGAAGCCUGCACGAGAAACUGCAUUUGUGACUGGCGAGCUAGAGUAUGGCAGAGGGGGGUAGAAUUCCACGUGUAGCAGUGAAAUGCGUAGAGAUGUGGAGGAAUACCGAUGGCGAAGGCAGCCCCCUGGGCCAAUACUGACGCUCAUGCACGAAAGCGUGGGGAGCAAACAGGAUUAGAUACCCCUGUAGUCCC